rnacentral:rRNA from 1 species
CCCUUAGAUGUUCUGGGCCGCACGCGCGCUACACUGACGAAUGCAACGAGCUUAUAACCUUGGCCGAAAGGUCUGGGUAAUCUCCAAAUUUCGUCGUGAUGGGGAUAGAUUAUUGCAAUUAUUAAUCUUCAACGAGGAAUUCCUAGUAAGCGCGAGUCAUCAGCUCGUGCUGAUUACGUCCCUGCCCUUUGUACACACCGCCCGUCGCUCCUACCGAUUGAAUGGUCCGGUGAAGCCUCCGGAUUGGCGCGCACCUCGGUGCCGCCGAGAAGUUGGCUAAACCUUACCAUUUAGAGGAAGGUGAANUCGUAACA